AUGGAUUACAAGCUCAUUGGCUUGUUCAACAUGGGAUUAGUCUAUCUGGAAUCGGUCGCCAUACAUGUAGACGCAAAUGUGCUGGCCUUCAUGAUUCUAGAACAUGGAAUCAUACCAGUCGAUGGUUUGAAGCACUCCUCUGGUUUGAAGGAUAGAUACCUUUCAAGGAUCAAGUGCAUCCUAACUCACCUAUUACCAUAUAACUGGAAUUACCGAUGCAAGUCAAAGAAGGAUUGGCCGGUGCUGCUGGCUGGAGUCAAUUUCGAUCCCACGGAUCAGGAGCUGAUCGAGCACCUUGAGGCCAAAGUUCUGGUGCUGCACACCAACAAGAACAUCGACCAGCAGAGGACCAACUGGGUGAUGCACCAGUACCACAUCUGGGACCUGGAGCAAGAGAAGGAGCGGGAGCUGGUCCUCUGCAAGAUUUUCUACCAGACGAACACUAGGGCCAGUAGUAGUUUGGUAUUGGUAGUUGUACUACCUUGUCGUCCGCAAGUUGGUAUUGUUGUUAACGAUCUUUUGGACCAGCCCAUGACGACAACGGGGCACAAAGAUCUAGCAGGUAUCUACUGGCUUCUGGCCCGCCAGCAUUAG
rnacentral:rRNA from 1 species